rnacentral:rRNA from 1 species
UGGGGAAUAUUGCACAAUGGAGGGAACUCUGAUGCAGCGACGCCGCGUGAACGAAGAAGGCUUUCGAGUCGUAAAGUUCUUUUAUAUGGGAAGAUAAUGACGGUACCAUAAGAAAAAGCCCCGGCUAACUACGUGCCAGCAGCCGCGGUAAUACGUAGGGGGCUAGCGUUGCCCGGAAUCACUGGGCGUAAAGGGUUCGCAGGCGGAAAUGCAAGUCAGGUGUAAAAGGCAGUAGCUUAACUACUGUAAGCAUUUGAAACUGCAUAUCUUGAGAAGAGUAGAGGUAAGUGGAAUUUAUAGUGUAGCGAUGAAAUGCAUAGAUAUUAAAAAGGAUGAAGGUGGCGAAGGAGAGUUGCUGGGCUCAUUCUGACGCUGAGUAACGAACGCGUGGGUAGCGAGCAGG